AAUUAAUCUAUAUUUAGUACUUAUCCAAUCAUUCACUGUAUAUAAGAAUGGAGAGAGGAACAUCUGGUUUCAGCGUCUGAUGCGAGGGACAGCAGAACCGCGAGGGCUAUGCUCCUGCCCCUUCUCACGGCCUGCCUACUAGCGUCGCCUGCGGCGAGUCGUCAGCCGCCGCCGGAAUCCGGAGCGCCGCCGCCGACGCUGCCGCGCCGGGAGACGGAAGCAAGAUCUCCCUGGUGUUCUGCAUCGCCGGCGAAUGCAACUACUUCGGGCCAUGGCAGGACUGCUACUGCUGCGGGUACGACCGGAAGCAGAACUGCCACCGCACGCUGGCAGAGUGCAGGGCCCAUUGCGCCCACUGCAACCCCACCUGCUCGCCGGCGGCGCCCACCCUUGCGGCGACGACCAACGCUACCUCGUACAACUAAGUUCUGAAUAACGUGGCGUCCGCUUGCGCUUCAGAACUUAUUGUUUUUGCUUCUAGUACUUUUUUUUUUUGCUUUUCCUGGCUGUGUUCAGUUCCCAUGAAAAAACUGUAGAGCUAAAAACACUGUAGCACACUGUAUCACUUUUCGUUUGUUUUCGUUUGUUUGUGGUAAAUAUUGUCCUACCAUAAUCUAAUUAGGC